AACGAACGCUGGCGGCAUGCCUAACACAUGCAAGUCGAACGAGACCUUCGGGUCUAGUGGCGCACGGGUGCGUAACGCGUGGGAACCUGCCCUUAGGUUCGGAAUAACUCCCCGAAAGGGGUGCUAAUACCGGAUAAUGUCUUCGGACCAAAGAUUUAUCGCCUUUGGAUGGGCCCGCGUUGGAUUAGCUAGUUGGUAGGGUAAAAGCCUACCAAGGCGACGAUCCAUAGCUGGUCUGAGAGGAUGAUCAGCCACACUGGGACUGAGACACGGCCCAGACUCCUCCGGGAGGCAGCAUUGGGGAAUAUUGGACAAUGGCGAAAGCCUGAUCCAGCAAUGCCGCGUGAGUGAUGAAGGCCUUAGGGUUGUAAAGCUCUUUUACCCGGGAUGAUAAUGACAGUACCGGGAGAAUAAGCUCCGGCUAACUCCGUG
rnacentral:rRNA from 1 species